CAAUCAAACUAGCACAGGAGGAAAGCAGUUGUGCCUCUGACUAUUGCUGGUGAUUUAGGGCCAGAUCCACAAAGGAUUAAGGCACCACUGUGAUCUACAAAACCCCUACUCAGCUGCCUCCUAACCCUGUAGCUACCUAAACUCACUGGGUACCUAUAUUUCUCUGUAAAGUUUCCAUAGGCACCUACAUUUUCUGCUCUAACACUGGUGUCUCAGGCAAGUCUCCAGGUGCCUAUUUCCUGCCUAAGCCCCAGUGCAAUCCUCAAGCCAGAAAACAGAAGAUAGGCAGAGGAAUACCUGUGGGGCCUAAUCCUAUAGGCAUACUCAGAGCAUGCCUGACUGACUAACUCCACGUAAAUUUUUGCCCAGGAGUUAGGUUACUCAUCUAGGAUAGAGGAGAUCUCUGUUCAGUCAGCCCUCUGCACCCCCCCCCCCCCAUCAGGAGGAGAAGCUAACAGAAGGAGGAUUUUGCCACUCUUGGAAGUCAGUAUUGCAAAUAAUCCAACCCUGGAGUUAGUAGUGGCUGCUGUCCUGUUGUUGAGCCACUACAGACCAGCAGUUCUCAAACUGUGCAUCGUGAAAAGCCACAGCCAGGAGCCCCAGCGGGGCUGAAGCCCAGAGCUCCAUGUCCUGAGUGGGGCUGAAACCUGGAGCCCUGUACUCCAUGCCCAGCAGUGGGGUUGAAGCUCUGAGGCCCUGAAGGUCCAGGAAUGAUAAAAUAAUAUUUAAAUUGCCAUUAUUUGAAAACUACACACUGAUCUCCAUCCAUGAAGGUGACAGAGAAGAGGGAAAAAGGCUGACAUUGUAUUUUGGGAGGUUCCCAUCGCUGACCAAUAUUUUCAGUGACCAAGCCAAAGAAUGUUUCUUGCACACAGUGCACUCUAACAAAUGCUUUCCCACAUCUGUACAAAGAAAUGGGUGCUGUGAUACUUGUAGGCUGUGUCUUUUAUUUGACAGACUCGUUCACCAACAAUUUCAGCGAUACAGUACUAGAGGAAUAUGAUCUGGGUGUCCAACCAUGUUUGGUUUUGGCUGUAUGACAUAUUCAUUUACUUUAUUAAGCUGGUGCCUCCAUCCUAUUUAUUGAAACACUGCAUUUUAAUGUACCUGAAAGAAAGAUAUAAAUACUUUUUCAAAAACUAACAACCA